GUCGACGAACUCUGGUAUUGAUUGGUGCUUGCAUCAUGAUUUACAUUUGAGUGAGUGGCGAACUGGUGAGUAACACGUGGGAAACCUGCCCAGAAGCGGGGGAUAACACCUGGAAACAGAUGCUAAUACCGCAUAACAACUUGGACCGCAUGGUCCGAGUUUGAAAGAUGGCUUCGGCUAUCACUUUUGGAUGGUCCCGCGGCGUAUUAGCUAGAUGGUGGGGUAACGGCUCACCAUGGCAAUGAUACGUAGCCGACCUGAGAGGGUAAUCGGCCACAUUGGGACUGAGACACGGCCCAAACUCCUACGGGAGGCAGCAGUAGGGAAUCUUCCACAAUGGACGAAAGUCUGAUGGAGCAACGCCGCGUGAGUGAAGAAGGGUUUCGGCUCGUAAAACUCUGUUGUUAAAGAAGAACAUAUCUGAGAGUAACUGUUCAGGUAUUGACGGUAUUUAACCAGAAAGCCACGGCUAACUACGUGCCAGCAGCCGCGGUAAUACGUAGGUGGCAAGCGUUGUCCGGAUUUAUUGGGCGUAAAGCGAGCGCAGGCGGUUUUUUAAGUCUGAUGUGAAAGCCUUCGGCUCAACCGAAGAAGUGCAUCGGAAACUGGGAAACUUGAGUGCAGAAGAGGACAGUGGAACUCCAUGUGUAGCGGUGAAAUGCGUAGAUAUAUGGAAGAACACCAGUGGCGAAGGCGGCUGUCU
rnacentral:rRNA from 1 species